AGCGAACGCUGGCGGCAGGCUUAACACAUGCAAGUCGAGCGCCAUUUCGGUGGAGCGGCAGACGGGUGAGUAACGCGUGGGAACGUACCUUUUGGUUCGGAAUAUUCUCGGGAAACUGAGAGCAAUACCGGAUAAGCCCUACGGGGGAAAGAUUUAUCGCCAAUAGAGCGGCCCGCGUUAGAUUAGCUAGUUGGUGGGGUAAAGGCCUACCAAGGCUACGAUCUAUAGCUGGUCUGAGAGGAUGAUCAGCCACACUGGGACUGAGACACGGCCCAGACUCCUACGGGAGGCAGCAGUGGGGAAUUUUCCGCAAUGGGCGCAAGCCUGACGGAGCAAGACCGCGUGGGGGAGGAAGGCUCUUGGGUUGUAAACCCCUUUUCUCAGGGAAGAACCAAAUGACGGUACCUGAGGAAUCAGCCUCGGCUAACUCCGUGCCAGCAGCCGCGGUAAUACGGAGGAGGCAAGCGUUAUCCGGAAUGAUUGGGCGUAAAGCGUUCGUAGGUGGCUAUUCAAGUCUGCUGUCAAAGACAGAAGCUCAACUUCUGAAAGGCAGUGGAAACUGAGUAGCUGGAGUGCGGUAGGGGCAGAGGGAAUUCCCGGUGUAGCGGUGAAAUGCGUAGAGAUCGGGAAGAACACCGGUGGCGAAAGCGCUCUGCUGGGCCGCAACUGACACUGAGGGACGAAAGCUAGGGGAGCGAAUGGGAUUAGAUACCCCAGUAGUCCUAGCUGUAAACGAUGGAAACUAGGUGUUGCCUGUAUCGACCCAGGCAGUGCCGUAGCUAACGCGUUAAGUUUCCCGCCUGGGGAGUACGCACGCAAGUGUGAAACUCAAGGAAUUGACGGGGGCCCGCACAAGCGGUGGAGUAUGUGGUUUAAUUCGAUGCAACGCGAAGAACCUUACCAGGGCUUGACAUGUCCGGAACCCUGGCGAAAGCUAGGGGUGCCUUCGGGAGCCGGAACACAGGUGGUGCAUGGCUGUCGUCAGCUCGUGUCGUGAGAUGUUGGGUUAAGUCCCGCAACGAGCGCAACCCUCGUUCUUAGUUGCCAUCAUUAAGUUGGGCACUCUAGGGAGACUGCCGGUGACAAACCGGAGGAAGGUGGGGAUGACGUCAAGUCAUCAUGCCCCUUACGUCCUGGGCUACACACGUACUACAAUGGGAAGGACAGAGGGCAGCCACUUCGCGAGGAGGAGCUAAUCCCGUAAACCUUUCCUCAGUUCAGAUUGCAGGCUGCAACUCGCCUGCAUGAAGGAGGAAUCGCUAGUAAUCGCAGGUCAGCAUACUGCGGUGAAUCCGUUCCCGGGCCUUGUACACACCGCCCGUCACACCAUGGAAGUUAGCCAUGCCCGAAGUCAUUACUCUAACCUUUCGAGGAGGAGGGUGCCGAAGGCAGGGCUGAUGACUGGGGUGAAGUCGUAACAAGGUAGCCGUACCGGAAGGUGUGGCUGGAUCACCUCCUUUUUAGGGAGACCAAACUUCGGUUGAGCUAACCCCAAUUUACAAGCCAACUGAGGUCAUCCCAGGUCGUGCGAGGAAUUGAGUAACUACUAGGCUUUCAAACUUUCGGUUCGGAUAUUAUGAAAUACUUAACUACUGAAUAUCUCUUCAAAAAAGAGAUAAACAGUGCAGCACCUAAAAUUCCAAGAAAAGAGGGUUUAGGAUGCUGGACGAAAGUUCAGUCAGAACCUGGAAAACUGCAUAGAGAAUCAGGCAAAAGGUAAGACCGUAACAGACUUUUCAAAUGAGAGGUCAAGCUAGAAAGAGCUAACGGUGGAU
rnacentral:rRNA from 1 species